rnacentral:rRNA from 1 species
UACAGAGGGUGCGAGCGUUGUCCGGAAUCACUGGGCGUAAAGGGUGCGUAGGCGGGUCUUUUAAGUCAGGGGUGAAAUCCUGGAGCUCAACUCCAGAACUGCCUUUGAUACUGAGGAUCUUGAGUAUGGGAGAGGUGAGUGGAACUGCGAGUGUAGAGGUGAAAUUCGUAGAUAUUCGCAAGAACACCAGUGGCGAAGGCGGCUCACUGGCCCGAUACUGACGCUGAGGCACGAAAAGCGUGGGGAGCAAACAGGG